GCCUGAUCCAGCCAUGCCGCGUGCGGGAUGACGGUCCUAUGGAUUGUAAACUGCUUUUGUACGAGAAAAAACACUCCUAUGUAUCGGAGCUUGACGGUAUCGUAAGAAUAAGGAUCGGCUAACUCCGUGCCAGCAGCCGCGGUAAUACUGAGGAUCCAAGCGUUAUCCGGAAUCAUUGGGUUUAAAGGGUCCGUACGCGGUUUAAAAAGUCAGUGGUGAAAGCCCAUCGCUCAACGGUGGAACGGCCAUUGAUACUGCUGAACUUGAAUUAUUAUGAAGGAACUAGAAUAUGUUGUGUAGAGGUGAAGUGGUUAGAGAUUACAUGGAAUACCACUUGCGAACGCAGGUUACUACUAAUUGAUUGACCCUGAUGGACGAAAGCGUGGGUAGCGAACGGGAUUACAUACCCUGGUAGUCCACGCCGUAAACGAUGGAUACUUCCUGUUGGGAGCAAUUUCAGUGGCUAAGCGAAAGUGAUAAGUAUCCCACCUGGGGAGUACGUUCGCAAGAAUGAAACUCAAAGGAAUUGACGGGGGCCCGCACAAGCGGUGGAGCAUGUGGUUUAAUUCGAUGAUACCCGAGGAACCUUACCAAGGCUUAAAUGUAGAUUGACCGUUUUGGAAACAGAACUUUCUC
rnacentral:rRNA from 1 species